GACGAGGGGUCCAAGCGUUGUUCGGAAUUAUUGGGCGUAAAGCGGGUGUAGGUGGCUCUGUAAGUCAGAAGUGAAAUCCCCGAGCUUAACUUGGGAAGUGCUUUUGAAACUGCAGAGCUUGAAUGUGGGAGAGGAUCGUGGAAUUCCAGGUGUAGUGGUGAAAUACGUAGAUAUCUGGAGGAACACCGGUGGCGAAGGCGGCGAUCUGGCCCAACAUUGACACUGAGACCCGAAAGCGUGGGGAUCAAACAGG
rnacentral:rRNA from 1 species